rnacentral:rRNA from 1 species
AACGAACGCUGGCGGCAGGCUUAACACAUGCAAGUCGAACGCCCCGCAAGGGGAGUGGCAGACGGGUGAGUAACACGUGGGAACAUACCCUUCGGUUCGGAACAACGCCGGGAAACUGGCGCUAAUACCGGAUACGCCCUUUUGGGGAAAGGCUUGCUGCCGAAGGAUUGGCCCGCGUUCGAUUAGCUUGUUGGUGAGGUAACGGCUCACCAAGGCGACGAUCGAUAGCUGGUCUGAGAGGAUGGCCAGCCACAUUGGGACUGAGACACGGCCCAAACUCCUACGGGAGGCAGCAGUGGGGAAUAUUGGACAAUGGGCGCAAGCCUGAUCCAGCCAUGCCGCGUGAGUGAUGACGGCCUUAGGGUUGUAAAGCUCUUUCGCACGCGACGAUAAUGACGGUAGCGUGAGAAGAAGCCCCGGCUAACUUCGUGCCAGCAGCCGCGGUAAUACGAAGGGGGCUAGCGUUGUUCGGAAUCACUGGGCGUAAAGGGUGCGUAGGCGGAUUCUUAAGUCAGGGGUGAAAUCCCGAGGCUCAACCUCGGAACUGCCUUUGAUACUGGGGAUCUUGAGUCCGGAAGAGGUGAGUGGAACUGCGAGUGUAGAGGUGAAAUUCGUAGAUAUUCGCAAGAACACCAGUGGCGAAGGCGGCUCACUGGUCCGGAACUGACGCUGAGGCACGACAGCGUGGGGAGCAAACAGGAUUAGAUACCCUGGUAGUCCAC